rnacentral:lncRNA from 1 species
AUAUGAAGCUUUCCUCAAAAGCAUUCUAAACUCUACCGAGACUGUAGCAAGAGGAAGGGUCCAGAGCUUGGACCCAAAUGAUCUAGUUGGUGGUACAGAGAUUGGACCAGAAUGGUGUGAGGUAAACGUUCAAGUACCAAUAAAAAAGAUGAAAACUUGGUAAGACUAUAUGGUUUAUUUUCUACAAUUCAAGAUUGUAUUGGUGCAUCCAUCGCAUAGCCCUAUCCAUUCAUCUCGGUAGUCUAUGAGGAUUGAGGACGCAUGAUGACUCAAGAUUUUAUGCUUCUUAUUUCUUUAAUUGCUUUUAAUUUCUUUGUUAAAUGUUAAGACUUUAUGUUAGAUAAUGUUAUAACUUAUUUAUGGUUAGUGUUUUUGUUAUGAACAUGCUUAUUUGAAAUAUAAUGAAGUUUUAUUUCUU